CAAUUAAAUCAAUAACUUACGUUGAUUUAUUGAUAUCGUCGGAGUCGGGUUUCUGGUAACAGGAACGUAGUUAAAACUCUCUAAUUGACGGGAAGUUUCUGUAAUCGGACUACACACCAACUCAUCGUGGUGACACAGAUGAGGGCCAGCGUAAUGAACUGGGUAGGGUAAAAGAGGUAGGACGGGAAUAAUCCGCAGCGAAGCAUCUCAACAAGAACGUUCACCUGUUUAGGAAUCCACGAAUGUUCGUUAAGAUGUGUGCUCACAGACUAUCGAAAGACGCGAUGUCGAGUAGAGUAGGCUCUGUUAAACACAGACCAAAACGGGAGACUCCUCGCAACGAGGAUGAAGAUAUAGUCGAUAAUUACGUGCACCGA
rnacentral:autocatalytically_spliced_intron from 1 species